rnacentral:tRNA from 1 species
GGGGCCGUGCCUGAAAUAAAGGGUCACUUUGAUGAAGUGAAUCACGAAAGUUAAAAUCUUUCCAGCCCCU